CCUCUGGUCGAUGGAACAA
rnacentral:snRNA from 1 species